rnacentral:rRNA from 1 species
UACCAGCACCCCGAGUGGUCGGGACGAUUAUUGGGCCUAAAGCAUCCGUAGCCGGUCAUGCAAGUCUUCCGUUAAAUCCAGCCGCUCAACGGUUGGGCUGCGGAGGAUACUACGUGGCUAGGAGGCGGGAGAGGCAAGCGGUACUCAGUGGGUAGGGGUAAAAUCCUUUGAUCCAUUGAAGACCACCAGUGGCGAAGGCGGCUUGCCAGAACGCGCUCGACGGUGAGGGAUGAAAGCUGGGGGAGCAA